AGCAGCAGAGAGAGAGAGUGAGGUCGGCUGUGUCCCAAGCAUCUCCUGGCUGAAGGCAAGAACCUGAGCUUGGGGCUGGGAUACAACGCAGCUUAAUAACGGAAACGUGGCAUAUGAAGUGUAUGGGGAGGAGACUAUUUGUGUUAGUGGAUUUAAUCAGAGAAUUUAUUCAGAAAUUGUUCUGAGGGCUGGAGAGAGGGAGCUUAGUGAGGCUCUGAGCUACAUCUGGACAACCCACCUUAAGAGGAAAGCCGUGCAUUGCUGCUCGCAAUCCCAGUGUUGUGAAGGCAGAGAUCACAGAGUCCCUGGGACCCACUGGCCAGAAAAACAGCCUCCUGGCUCUGUCUGUACAUAAGUGUGUGCACACACGUGUUUCCUGAUGACCCCUGACUCCUGUGGCUACCAAGCCUCCUGCUGGCUACCACUUCCAGCUCUAACCUCACAGGGUUGAAGAAAAAGAACAAGCCUGCCCCCUGGGGAAAGCAUGCUAAUGAAUUGUGAUCAGCCAGCUUCCUGCUCCAGCCACCUGCGGCCAUGUUGUCCCCACCCUUAUGGGCAUCCAGCCCUCUGGAACCAUAAGCCAAAAUAAACUCUCUCUCCC